UACGGGGGGAGCAAGCGUUGUUCGGAUUUACUGGGCGUAAAGGGCGCGUAGACGGCCAGCACAAGUCAGUUGUGAAAUCUCCGGGCUUAACUCGGAAAGGUCAACUGAUACUGUGCGGCUAGAGUGCAGAAGGGGCAACUGGAAUUCUCGGUGUAGCGGUGAAAUGCGUAGAUAUCGAGAGGAACACCUGCGGCGAAGGCGGGUUGCUGGGCUGACACUGACGCUGAUGCGCGAAAGCCAGGGGAGCGAACGGG
rnacentral:rRNA from 1 species